rnacentral:rRNA from 1 species
GAUGAACGCUGGCGGCGUGCCUAAUACAUGCAAGUAGAACGCUGAAGGAAGGAGCUUGCUCUUUCCGGAUGAGUUGCGAACGGGUGAGUAACGCGUAGGUAACCUGCCUGGUAGCGGGGGAUAACUAUUGGAAACGAUAGCUAAUACCGCAUAACAGUAGAUGUUGCAUGAUAUCUACUUAAAAGGUGCAAUUGCACCACUACCAGAUGGACCUGCGUUGUAUUAGCUAGUUGGUGAGGUAACGGCUCACCAAGGCGACGAUACAUAGCCGACCUGAGAGGGUGAUCGGCCACACUGGGACUGAGACACGGCCCAGACUCCUACGGGAGGCAGCAGCAGGGAAUCUUCGGCAAUGGACGGAAGUCUGACCGAGCAACGCCGCGUGAGUGAAGAAGGUUUUCGGAUCGUAAAGCUCUGUUGUAAGAGAAGAACGAGUGUGAGAGUGGAAAGUUCACACUGUGACGGUAUCUUACCAGAAAGGGACGGCUAACUACGUG